CACAGGUUGGCUGGUUCUGUUUCGUUUCUGUAUCCCCCUUCCUCUGAUGCUUAUCGAACAAUGGCGGCCUUGGCGACGGCCGACGGAUGGCGGGACUGGAUCCGGUCGACAGGUUCGCUGUCCCAACCAUGUACGGCGGUGUGUUCUGAGUGGCAACCCAGCCGACACUAGAUCUGGUUGAAGCGGACGACAAGUUCAGAAUGGGAGGAGCCGUGGAUGUGUUCGCGCCUCUCCAACUGAAUCUGAACACGCUGUGCGAUAUGAGCAGCUUAUCGCCGCCGGACUCUGAACAGUCCACGAGCAAGGAAGACCCGCAAGCUCCUGGUUGGACAUGGAGACAAAAGCUAUGUGAUGCAGGGUGCUUGUUGGACAGGCUCCUGCGCCAUGUUCGGGUAGAGUUUGUGCCCUUGAGCAGACAAUCAGGGGGUUAGCUGAGAAGAAGACUGACACUGUUGUUGGAAGUUCGUUUGACUCAUUAUUAGGCGAGGUGACUACUAGAAUUUGUACUCCUGGGUAUGUUGGAUGUUAAUUGGUACGGUGAGAGCAAGAGCAAGGUUAACUUUGAAAAGACAAAGUGCAUACAGGGGAUAGUAUGUGGGUGCUCGUUAUGGCCUAACUUCGUUCGGUUAAACAUUGUGUUCGCUCACUAGCUGGAAAAAAAAGUUGUGCUAAAACUUUUUAUCAAAAAAAAGUUGUGCUAAACUGGUUUAUAAUUACUGGGUAAGCCAAAAAGGACCAACACAAGAUCAUGCCAGCGAUGAUUCGUCUACUCAGCUCGGAGGACAACAACUGAUACAUAAGCGAGCACAGGGCCAAGCCAUCGCAGUUCAAGGACGACAAGUUAAAGUUAUGUGUGUUUGCUCGGGAAGCCGAAGAAGUUGAACACUCGAUCUUGCGAUGUGAGUGCCUGGCAGUGAUAAGGCUACUGAUUUACAAUGCGAGUUACUAGUUGUCCGUGCAAUUUGUACAAUUUGAUUUUCUCUUGUAAGCUAGGAUUUUCCUAAACCUGUAUACAUUUUACGUAAACAUGUGUUAGCGGGAAAAUAAACCAAUCAGUGG